GUCGGCGUAGCUCAGCUGGUUCAGAGCGCGUGGCUCAUGACCACGAGGUCCCGAGUUCAAAUCUCGGCGCCGACA
rnacentral:tRNA from 1 species